AUUGAACGCUGGCGGCAUGCUUUACACAUGCAAGUCGAACGGUAACAGGCCGCAAGGUGCUGACGAGUGGCGAACGGGUGAGUAAUGCAUCGGAACGUGCCCAGCCGUGGGGGAUAACUACUCGAAAGAGUAGCUAAUACCGCAUACGAUCUACGGAUGAAAGCGGGGGACCGUAAGGCCUCGCGCGAUUGGAGCGGCCGAUGUCAGAUUAGGUAGUUGGUGGGGUAAAGGCUCACCAAGCCAACGAUCUGUAGCUGGUCUGAGAGGACGACCAGCCACACUGGGACUGAGACACGGCCCAGACUCCUACGGGAGGCAGCAGUGGGGAAUUUUGGACAAUGGGCGCAAGCCUGAUCCAGCAAUGCCGCGUGCAGGAAGAAGGCCUUCGGGUUGUAAACUGCUUUUGUACGGAACGAAACGGCUCUGGUUAAUACCCGGGGCUAAUGACGGUACCGUAAGAAUAAGCACCGGCUAACUACGUG
rnacentral:rRNA from 1 species